GAUGAACGCUGGCGGCGUGCUUAACACAUGCAAGUCGAACGGAAAGGCUCCUGCUUGCAGGGGUACUCGAGUGGCGAACGGGUGAGUAACACGUGGGUGAUCUGCCCUGCACUUCGGGAUAAGCCUGGGAAACUGGGGCUAAUACCGGAUAGGACGAUGGUUUGGAUGCCAUUGUGGAAAGUUUUUCGGUGUGGGAUGAGCUCGCGGCCUAUCAGCUUGUUGGUGGGGUAAUGGCCUACCAAGGCGUCGACGGGUAGCCGGCCUGAGAGGGUGUACGGCCACAUUGGGACUGAGAUACGGCCCAGACUCCUACGGGAGGCAGCAGUGGGGAAUAUUGCACAAUGGGCGCAAGCCUGAUGCAGCGACGCCGCGUGGGGGAUGACGGCCUUCGGGUUGUAAACUCCUUUCGCUAGGGACGAAGCGCAAGUGACGGUACCUGGAGAAGAAGCACCGGCUAACUACGUG
rnacentral:rRNA from 1 species